rnacentral:rRNA from 1 species
CUACGGGCCGCUGCAGUAGGGAAUCUUCGGCAAUGGACGGAAGUCUGACCGAGCAACGCCGCGUGAGUGAAGAAGGUUUUCGGAUCGUAAAGCUCUGUUGUAAGAGAAGAACGAGUGUGAGAGUGGAAAGUUCACACUGUGACGGUAUCUUACCAGAAAGGGACGGCUAACUACGUGCCAGCAGCCGCGGUAAUACGUAGGUCCCGAGCGUUGUCCGGAUUUAUUGGGCGUAAAGCGAGCGCAGGCGGUUAGAUAAGUCUGAAGUUAAAGGCUGUGGCUUAACCAUAGUACGCUUUGGAAACUGUUUAACUUGAGUGCAGAAGGGGAGAGUGGAAUUCCAUGUGUAGCGGUGAAAUGCGUAGUUAUAUGGAGGAACACCGGUGGCGAAAGCGGCUCUCUGGUCUGUAACUGACGCUGAGGCUCGAAAGCGUGGGGAGCAAACAGGAUUAGAUACCCCUGUAGUC